AUCAAACCCUAGCCUCCUCUACGCCUCUUCAUCUCCUCAUUUAAUUUCUCUUCUGUCUCUUUUUUUUUCCCAUACAAGAAGCAAGUUUUAGAUGGAAAUGAUAUUGAACUUGUGUCGCCAUCUUGUGCCCUUAUUAACAAGAAAUGUCAUGUCAAGAACAAGGAUAUAUGCAAGUUCCUUGAUGGUAUCUAUCUCAAGAAGAGAAGUUGGAGCUUAGAGGUGAUCAAUAAAGUGUUUGUCUUAGUCUUUCCUUGCAUAGUCACACCAUUAUGUAAUGUGCUCUUUUCUUUCCUACAUUUGUAUAUGGACUUUUGUGUUUUUAAUUUCUUUGUUAGUAUAUUCAUGUUUUGUAUAUUAUGAUUGUG